rnacentral:rRNA from 1 species
UACGGAGGGUGCAAGCGUUAAUCGGAAUUACUGGGCGUAAAGCGUGCGCAGGCGGUUUGUUAAGUCUGUUGUGAAAUCCCCGAGCUCAACUUGGGAAUUGCAAUGGAUACUGGCAGGCUGGAGUAUGGUAGAGGAUGGUGGAAUUCCCGGUGUAGCAGUGAAAUGCGUAGAGAUCGGGAGGAACACCAGUGGCGAAGGCGGCCUUCUGGACCAGUACUGACGCUCAUGCACGAAAGCGUGGGGAGCAAACAGG